GUGGGGAAUAUUGGACAAUGGGGGGAACCCUGAUCCAGCCAUGCCGCGUGUGUGAAGAAGGCCUUUUGGUUGUAAAGCACUUUAAGCGAGGAGGAGGCUACCGAGAUUAAUACUCUUGGAUAGUGGACGUUACUCGCAGAAUAAGCACCGGCUAACUCUGUGCCAGCAGCCGCGGUAAUACAGAGGGUGCAAGCGUUAAUCGGAGUUACUGGGCGUAAAGCGCGCGUAGGUGGCCAAUUAAGUCAAAUGUGAAAUCCCCGAGCUUAACUUGGGAAUUGCAUUCGAUACUGGUUGGCUAGAGUAUGGGAGAGGAUGGUAGAAUUCCAGGUGUAGCGGUGAAAUGCGUAGAGAUCUGGAGGAAUACCGAUGGCGAAGGCAGCCAUCUGGCCUAAUACUGACACUGAGGUGCGAAAGCAUGGGGAGCAAACAGGAUUAGAAACCCUUGUAGUCC
rnacentral:rRNA from 1 species